GACAGCAGGGAACUAUGGUUGGAGGUGGGGGCUGAGCACCCAGAGACAGCAGGGAACUCUGGGUGGAGGUGGGGGCUAGUCGCUGAGGGACAGCUGGGAACUCUCGGUGGAGGAGCAGGUGGGAACUUGUGAGUCUCUUUGGGAGGUUAAGUCCCACCUGCUGUUGCACCCAGAGCGGGGAGAGGCCCAUGCUGCACUCCGCAGCCACCCUGACACCCUCAGAGCUCUGGCUUGGAGCAGCAUGGAAGUGGCCUGCACAGCUGAGGCUGGGAUCUCUCUCCUAGGCCCUCACAGAACACUGAAGGUGGAAGUGAGGAGGAGGGCCCCACAGGGCCUCUGUUCUCACCUUGCCUCUCCUGGGUCUGUGCUGACCUCAGAGCUGUAAGGAAUAGCUGCCCGUGGGUGGAAUGGCCGGAGGACAUCCUUAUGAAGGUGGCCAGUGAGUGAAACUUCAGGGAUAGGCAGAGCCCACCCCAGAGGCCAGGCCCUUCCAGUGUGGCUUGAGCUGCUGCUCAGAGGAGGGGUGUGCACGGGGCCGACUAACCAGACUUGAGGAUGGGGUGUCCUGGCAAUCAGGUGGAAAGGCGAGAACCCGAAGCCAGACUGCAGAGUGUGGAGGGUGGGCACUGGCAUCCCUGAGGGAGUUCUUGAGUAGAGGGACAGCAGGGCUUUAGGUGGACACCUCAGGAGACCUAUGGGUCUCAAGGCUGAAGGCACAAGUGGACCAAGGACAGAGGCAUUGGUCUUUCCCAUUAUCCCAAGUGGGGCUGAGGGACAAGGGUAGACUUGGGUGCAGGCCAGUGGGAUGGCCAGACAGAUGGCCAGGAGCGAGGGCAGAAGAAGGGAGGACACUUCCCUCCGCAGCAUGUCGAAUUGAGGAGGAAACUGGAGAGGACAAGAAUUGGGCACUACAGGACUUAGCCGCAGAUGACUGGGAGGAUCCAAGAGCCACACAAAUGGCGGUGGGACACACAAGGACAGGUUGUCGUGAGAGGUAGGACCUCAGCGUGGACACCAUGCAGCUCACCAUCUUUCCUGGGGACCAAGACGUGGGUCACACUGACCUCAAGAACAGUAGAGGUCUGUCCCUCCACUCCCUCGACACCUGCAAGGCUGCUGAGCGCGUAGGGGGGCCUGGCCCAUCCCCAUGAUCCUCUGUUCCCAGUGUGGACGCUGCUCUGCAGUUUCAGCUUUGUUGCUGCGACCAUCGAAGAGCCACCCUGUCCCAUGGACCCUGCGCGGCUCCUGCUGUGUGGCAGCUGUGAAGACCCUCCUGGUGCACUGCCACCAGCCCCUCCUCAGCCCGGCGGACUUCUGCCUAAGAACCAGCCUCUGCCCUGCUGGCCUGAUUUACUCAGCUCAGAGCACCCUCAAGGUCCCUCCUACACAGCAUCUUCCUUCCCACAAUCUAAAUGGGUCAUGCUUUCUGUUGGUUCCUGCUUCUCUCUCCUCGGAGACCUCUCUGCUCUGCGUCUGCCCAUCAGGCCCUGGUCCUUAAAAGUCAGCAUGAUCUGGA